rnacentral:rRNA from 1 species
AUUGAACGCUGGCGGCAGGCCUAACACAUGCAAGUCGAGCGAGUGGCGGACGGGUGAGUAAUGUCUGGGAAACUGCCUGAUGGAGGGGGAUAACUACUGGAAACGGUAGCUAAUACCGCAUACCAUCAGAUGUGCCCAGAUGGGAUUAGCUAGUAGGUGGGGUAAUGGCUCACCAAGGCAACGAUCCCUAGCUGGUCUGAGAGGAUGACCAGCCACACUGGAACUGAGACACGGUCCAGACUCCUACGGGAGGCAGCAGUGGGGAAUAUUGCACAAUGGGCGAAAGCCUGAUGCAGCCAUGCCGCGUGUGUGAAGAAGGCCUUCGGAGUGUAAAGCACUUUCAGCGGGGAGGCGUUACUCGCAGAAGAAGCACCGGCUAACUCCGUGCCAGCAGCCGCGGUAAUUC